AAGUCGUAACAAGGUUUCCGUAGGUGAACCUGCGGAAGGAUCAUUACCUUUCAAUGCAGAAGAGUUGAGAUGGUUGAGUAUCUCGCCUCUCAAUUCUCGCUGUAUUUUACCCUUGUUUUUCUCAUACUAUUAUUUCCUCGGCAGGCUUGCUUGCCGAGUGAAACCAAUUAUAACCUAUUUAAUUUUCAAUCAGCGUCUGAACAAAAUUAAUAAUUACAACUUUCAACAACGGAUCUCUUGGUUCUG
rnacentral:misc_RNA from 1 species